rnacentral:rRNA from 1 species
AUUGAACGCUGGCGGCAGGCCUAACACAUGCAAGUCGAGCGAGCGGCGGACGGGUGAGUAAUGUCUGGGAAACUGCCUGAUGGAGGGGGAUAACUACUGGAAACGGUAGCUAAUACCGCAUACCAUCAGAUGUGCCCAGAUGGGAUUAGCUAGUAGGGGGGGUAACGGCUCACCUAGGCGACGAUCCCUAGCUGGUCUGAGAGGAUGACCAGCGAUACUGGAACUGAGACACGGUCCAGACUCCUACGGGCGGCAGCAGUGGGGAAUCUUGCACAAUGGGCGCAAGCCUGAUGCAGCCAUGCCGCGUGUGUGAAGAAGGCCUUCGGGUUGUAAAGCACUUUCAGCGGGUAGGCGUUACCCGCACAGGAAGCACCGGCUAACUCCGUGCCAGCAGCCGCGGUAAUAC